rnacentral:rRNA from 1 species
UACGUAGGGUGCGAGCGUUAAUCGGAAUUACUGGGCGUAAAGCGUGCGCAGGCGGUUUUGUAAGCCAGAUGUGAAAUCCCCGGGCUUAACCUGGGAAUGGCAUUUGGGACUGCAAGGCUCGAGUGCGGCAGAGGAGACUGGAAUUCCUGGUGUAGCAGUGAAAUGCGUAGAUAUCAGGAAGAACACCAGUGGCGAAAGCGGCUCUCUGGGGACCACCUGACGCUGAGGCGCGAAAGCGUGGGGAGCGAACCGG